rnacentral:lncRNA from 1 species
CACCCCUACACAAUUAUCGCCGGAUAAUUGUACGAAUCCGGGUUCCCGAAAGUGUCUAUUUCGACACCGGAACCCUCCGUCGCUCACCUAUCAUCCUCGAACCUACAAAAUAAUGAUGGUGACCAGCCAACAAGGCUCAGCGACAAAACACAGAGCAAACAAACACCGUCGAAAAGAAUCCGAACCGAAAUCGCGUUCUUUCGACGAAUUUCGUCGAAAAACGCACCGAAAUCGACCUUUCGAUUUCCACGAAAGCCACAGGAUCAUGGACAAUCAGUCCA